rnacentral:rRNA from 1 species
GAUGAACGCUGGCGGCGUGCCUAACACAUGCAAGUCGAGCGUGAACCGUCUGAAUGAAACUUCGGUCGAGUGAGGAUGGGGAAAGCGGCGGACGGGUGAGUAACGCGUAGGCAACCUGCCCCGUACAGAGGGAUAGCCUCGGGAAACCGGGAUUAAGACCUCAUAAUACCAUUAUCUCACAUGUGAUAAUGGUCAAAGAUUUUAUCGGUAUGGGAUGGGCCUGCGUCUGAUUAGCUGGUUGGUGGGGUAACGGCUCACCAAGGCGACGAUCAGUAGCCGACCUGAGAGGGUAAUCGGCCACAUUGGAACUGAGACACGGUCCAAACUCCUACGGGAGGCAGCAGUGGGGAAUAUUGCACAAUGGGCGAAAGCCUGAUGCAGCAACGCCGCGUGGAUGAUGAAGGCCUUCGGUCGUAAGUCUUUCUGAGGGAAGAACUGCCGGGGAGGAAAGUGCCCUUGGCUUGACGGUACCGUCAGGAAUAAGCAACGGCUAACUCCGUGCC